rnacentral:lncRNA from 1 species
CCGGCCUCUAGGAGUCAUCCACACGAGCCCACAAAUCUCGAUCAGAAGUCCUGCUUCAGGAAAUCAGCACAGUAUGCUAGUACUGCGCUGAUCCUUCUUUGAUGGUUGAUCAAGUACCUCCUUCUUCUUGAUUUGGACUCUUCCAAAGAUGGAAAGUAGAAGGAGGAGUUUUAGAUCUGAGACACUCUCAGGAAACUCAAGAUGGAAGGAGGAAAGAUAUGAAAAUAAAAAUCCUAGAAGAAGACCCUCUUCUUCUUCACAUUUUUCUCUCUAGAUACCCAAACUUGCAUCUUUUAUAUCUCCACGACCCAAAGG